rnacentral:rRNA from 1 species
GUGGGGAAUAUUGGACAAUGGGCGCAAGCCUGAUCCAGCCAUGCCGCGUGUGUGAAGAAGGCCUUUUGGUUGUAAAGCACUUUAAGCGAGGAGGAGGCUCCUUUAGUUAAUACCUAAAGAGAGUGGACGUUACUCGCAGAAUAAGCACCGGCUAACUCUGUGCCAGCAGCCGCGGUAAUACAGAGGGUGCAAGCGUUAAUCGGAUUUACUGGGCGUAAAGCGCGCGUAGGUGGCCAAUUAAGUCAAAUGUGAAAUCCCCGAGCUUAACUUGGGAAUUGCAUUCGAUACUGGUUGGCUAGAGUAUGGGAGAGGAUGGUAGAAUUCCAGGUGUAGCGGUGAAAUGCGUAGAGAUCUGGAGGAAUACCGAUGGCGAAGGCAGCCAUCUGGCCUAAUACUGACACUGAGGUGCGAAAGCAUGGGGAGCAAACAGGAUUAGAAACCCCAGUAGUCC